rnacentral:lncRNA from 1 species
CACUGGGCCAUCCCCUGUGUUUGUGGCUGGGAGUGCAGAAGGCAAUGGAGUAGACACAAGCCCUUGACCUCUGGGUGCUCCAGGCUAGCUGCAGAGACGGACAAGGAAGCAGGAGACCAACCUGCCGUGUGAUCUGUGCUCAGUGGGGGCAUGCUGAAGAGGACGGGCAGCUUCUAGAGGAGAAGAUGGCAGCUCUGACCUGGAGGACGAGCAGCAGCCAGGAAAAGGGGGCAGGUUCUACUACCCGGUUGGUUGUCAACAACCUGCUCAUCAGUCUUCAAGAUUCGGUGCUGUGCAGCCUCACCAUCUUGUGUGUGCUUCCAGGUUUCACAGAAUGGUUUUCUUCGGUGCUUAGAGAAAAUUCAAAGACUGGAAAGAUCCUGGAGGCACAAGGAGAAGGCAGAGAUGCAGAAAGAAGAAAGCUGAAAGGCUGAGUCUGAAAGCAUGAAGAAGAGUACAGCACUCAGAUCAAGCAUACUUCCAUCCAUAUAAACUACUGAAAAAGUGCUCUGCUGAAGUUACCAUCACCAUUUGCAAUCUGCCCGUUACUUCCUAUCUGUGUUAUUGUAGCUCAUUUAUAACUGGGUAGGUGUCACCUGGGGAACUGACUUCAUGAUCCAGGCCCACAAGGAGUCCUGACCCUUCCUUUCACGUGUGGAAAAUGCUGAUCUUGAGCUGCGGUUUCCAGAAUGUGUUACAGGCCCCCGAGGAGCACAAAAGACAAUUUACUAAAAUGAAGGGCAAACUUUGUUCAGUGACAGUAUCUUAGCCCAUGACGUGUAUCUGAGGUGUGAUUAUUGCUAAUUAAAAUAAAGAGUAAAAUAACAGAACAGCUAUUUGCAUUGUUUCUCUUUCAUUCUGAUAAAAUGCUUAUUUUUGUGUAUGCUUUAAAAGAUCUACUACUAUAGUGGUCUAUAUUGAUGCUGGUGUACUACACAUGCACACAUCGCAGAGGUUUGCUAACAAAUUUUUAUGGAUAAGGAUGGAUCUUCAGGAAAGUUUGGCAACUACGAUGGGGGUACCUCAAAUAAUUCAGUUUAAUAAUGAAACAACAAACCUCAAUAUUCCCUUAAUGGAUUUCUCUGAAAUAUUGUAAUUCAAAUCUUUGUCUUUCCGCAUGGUCGUCUGUAGCCCGAAGCGCGUUCUGCAGUGAAGUCACGGUGCAUCCGCAUGGAAGUUCCUCUGGCUUGGCCUGCGGAGAACAGUGUCCCCUCCCCGGGUGCUGGGGCCAUCACUGCUGCUCCCUGUCUUGGCAAGGCAGAGCCCCUCUUGGGGUCUCAGUUUAUUCCUUAAAGUUAGCUGCUUUUCCUCAUAUUUCUUUUCAUUCACUUAGAUUUUAUUAUAAAUCUAUGAAUAUUUAGAAACUCUUUAAUUUUUUUGGACCCUCAGUUAACUUCAACAGGAAAAUGCUGGAGGUUUUAAAAUUCAUCUGGGACCUGCCUGCACUCCCCCUUUGGCUCUGUUCGCCGUGAAAGCAUUUGAGGGUUUAUCUUUCUAUCAGGAAGCUUUAGAAGCACAACCCCUACCUAAUCA